UUCCAGACUCCUACGGGAGGCAGCAGUGGGGAAUAUUGCACAAUGGGGGAAACCCUGAUGCAGCGACGCCGCGUGAGUGAUGAAGUAUUUCGGUAUGUAAAGCUCUAUCAGCAGGGAAGAUAAUGACGGUACCUGACUAAGAAGCUCCGGCUAAAUACGUGCCAGCAGCCGCGGUAAUACGUAUGGAGCAAGCGUUAUCCGGAUUUACUGGGUGUAAAGGGAGCGUAGACGGCAGCGCAAGUCUGGAGUGAAAUCCCAUGGCUUAACCAUGGAACUGCUUUGGAAACUGUGCAGCUAGAGUGCAGGAGAGGUAAGCGGAAUUCCUAGUGUAGCGGUGAAAUGCGUAGAUAUUAGGAGGAACACCAGUGGCGAAGGCGGCUUACUGGACGGUAACUGACGUUGAGGCUCGAAAGCGUGGGGAGCAAACAGGAUUAGAUCCCCCAGUA
rnacentral:rRNA from 1 species